rnacentral:lncRNA from 1 species
GGCAGGGAUUUUGAGACCACAACUCUUCUCUGCUUCUUAAAAGCCUUUCCCUGGGAGAAGCUGUAGGACGCGGCGGAAUGUCUUUCUUCUUUGUGUCUGUGCUGGCUAAAGCAGGACAGAGGAGCUUGAAAAGGCUCGCCCUCCUCAAGGAACGUUAUCUGAUUCGUAAGCAUUCCUAGAGGUUAAGGCUGGUGACUAUCAAGAAAGCAAAUACUUCACGCAAGGCAAUAAAAACAUAGAGAUGUUGCAACCCAAGUACCCAAGUGAAGACAAAGCUCCAUCUGAGGAUGCCUUGGGUUCCAGAAGGUUCAGGUUCACAGCAUGAGCUUGGAGACUGGCUGUUGAGAAAAUACUGGCUGGUGAAAUAUUCUUCUCUCAAGAGGCUUGGUCGAUCGUCUCCCUUUUCCCUCAUCUGCUGGUAUAUCACACUGGAAAAGCAUCUCCUCUCUGCUGGAAAAACCUCUGACUACCUUGUAUUCUAGGACAGAAAGCCCCAAAUGGCAUCAAACUGGUCAGCUCCAGCUCGGUAUUCCCAGCCAGAUGUUCCUCAGGGGGCCAGGGGGUGUCCCCACAACAGCUGGGGACCGUAAGGCACCUGCACGGAAGCUGCAGGGCCUCUCCCAGUGACCCCAGCUGCAGGAGCACUGCUGUUUGCUGGGGCUCUGGAAUGUUCCUCACCCAGCUGUGCUCCGCUGGACGCUUCCCAGUGGACUGGAAGAGGAGUGCUGACAGCAUGGUGACACUAACCUUGGCCAGCUGACAACCCAAAGUUGCCUCCACACACCCUGGAUUGGACCCAUUGUCCUUCCUUUGACCCUCAGCUCCUUCCUCUG